rnacentral:rRNA from 1 species
GAUGAACGCUGGCGGCGUGCCUAAUACAUGCAAGUCGAGCGAACGGACGAGAAGCUUGCUUCUCUGAUGUUAGCGGCGGACGGGUGAGUAACACGUGGAUAACCUACCUAUAAGACUGGGAUAACUUCGGGAAACCGGAGCUAAUACCGGAUAAUAUUUUGAACCGCAUGGUUCAAAAGUGAAAGACGGUCUUGCUGUCACUUAUAGAUGGAUCCGCGCUGCAUUAGCUAGUUGGUAAGGUAACGGCUUACCGAGGCAACGAUGCAUAGCCGACCUGAGAGGGUGAUCGGCCACACUGGAACUGAGACACGGUCCAGACUCCUACGGGAGGCAGCAGUAGGGAAUCUUCCGCAAAGGGCGAAAGCCUGACGGAGCAACGCCGCGUGAGUGAUGAAGGUCUUCGGAUCGUAAAACUCUGUUAUUAGGGAAGAACAUAUGCGUAAGUAACUGUGCACAUCUUGACGGUACCUAAUCAGAAAGCCACGGCUAACUACGUG